GACAUCUCCCAGGUAAUAAGUCUACAGAUUACAAAUCAUUUUCAUAGAAGAUAUUUUUGUACAAGUUUUACAUGUAUUCAGGAGCGGGACGUUAAUCAAUCCCUGUUUCUAUUUUAAUAGGGGGGAUAAGGUAGGGGAGAGGGAGAAACAGUUUUGGAUAUAACUAUUUGGAAGGAGAGUAGACAUGAAGAGGGCAAACCCUAGCUUUUCAUUUUCUACAAUCAAUGGUUUUUUUUUCUUUAAAAAAAACAAAAACAAAAACCUUUCAGUCUUCAAUACUCUUUGAAAGCCCACUUCUUAGCUACUGGCCAAUCCACACCAAUUAUUUAAAUUCACUUGGUACACACCUUUGUCCACUGAGUAAAUUACAUUCAUUAUGCCCACUGCUGCAGCACGCAUAAACCAACACCCCUGCAUGGCUGAACAGGGCCUAAUCUAGGACUGAUGGGAGAAGGGCUUGCAAACCAAGAUCAAGGUGUCGUUUCUCUGCUCAUACUGUCUACCAAGUUGAUCCCUACAAAAAUGCACAUAAAAGCAGGCAAGUUUAGCUACUGUGUUGCAAGAGAAACCAGGACCUUGUUAAGUAGUUCUCUCCAUUACCAUUUAUUCUCUCAAGGGAAGCUUUAAGAAAUAAUAAUAAAGAAAAACAACACAUUGGUCUGGCCACCUCAUGAAUCCAACUAGCAUUGGUGUGGCAUUUCAGUGGAGAAGGAAACUUGGGGGGAAAAAACCCAUCAAGGUUGUCAGAAAGGCUCCCAAUUUAACUGUCCCUGUCCCUAUUUAUCCACCUUCCAAGACCAUCCAUUAUUCU
rnacentral:lncRNA from 1 species